rnacentral:rRNA from 1 species
UACGGAGGGGGCUAGCGUUGUUCGGAAUUACUGGGCGUAAAGCGCACGUAGGCGGCUUUGUAAGUUAGAGGUGAAAGCCCGGAGCUCAACUCCGGAAUUGCCUUUAAGACUGCAUCGCUCGAAUCAUGGAGAGGUGAGUGGAACUCCGAGUGUAGAGGUGAAAUUCGUAGAUAUUCGGAAGAACACCAGUGGCGAAGGCGACUCACUGGACAUGUAUUGACGCUGAGGUGCGAAAGCGUGGGGAGCAAACAGG